GAUGAAGAACGUAGCGAAAUGCGAUAAGUAAUGUGAAUUGCAGAAUUCAGUGAAUCAUCGAAUCUUUGAACGCACAUUGCGCCCGCCAGUAUUCUGGCGGGCAUGCCUGUUCGAGCGUCAUUACAACCCUCAGGCCCCCGGGCCUGGCGUUGGGGAUCGGCGGAGCCCCCCGUGGGCACACGCCGUCCCCCAAAUACAGUGGCGGUCCCGCCGCAGCUUCCAUCGCGUAGUAGCUAACACCUCGCGACUGGAGAGCGGCGCGGCCACGCCGUAAAACACCCAACUCUUCUGAAGUUGACCUCGAAUCAGGAAGGAAUACCCGCUGAACUUAAGCAUAUCAAUAAGCGGAGGA
rnacentral:misc_RNA from 1 species